AUGUUAAUAAGCGGAGGAAAAGAAACUAACCAGGAUUCCCCUAGUAACGGCGAGUGAAGCGGGAACAGCUCAAUUUUGAAAUCUCAUAGGUCUCCUAUGCGAAUUGUAGUUUAAAGAAGUGUUUUCGGGGGCAAGCCAGGUCUAAGUUUUUUGGAACAUUACAUCACAGAGGGUGAGAAUCCCGUAUGUGGUCUGGACUUUGCUCCUAUGUGAUACACUUUCAAAGAGUCGGGUUGUUUGGGAAUGCAGCCCAAAGUGGGUGGUAAAUAUCAUCUAAAGCUAAAUAUUGGCGAGAGACCGAUAGCGCACAAGUA
rnacentral:rRNA from 1 species